AAUAAUGCAUUGAACAAGAGAGUAGUGAAUCGUGGUUUUAUAGCAAGCUGGUGUUGAUGGAAGACCGGUAAACGACGUGUAGCGAAAGUAGCUUGUUGGCAGGUUUGCUGAAUCCGCUUGAGUGAUGAGCGUUAGUAGGUGAAUUCGGGUCACGUCCGUUAAACCGUGCUUGAGUGGGGUAGCAUUACCCAAUUUAGGUGGUACCGCGAUAAAUCGUCCUAAUU
rnacentral:ncRNA from 1 species